UCACAAGCCUCUGCUAUUGUGUACAUAGUUUAUACUAAGUGACCCAUAGGUUAAAGGAGGCGGUGACCGUGGCGGUGUAGGUGGAAGCAGCGGUGGAGGAGGUAGCCAACACUGUUUUUCAUAUACAUAUACAUGGUGACCACGGGUAACGGGGAAUCAGGGUUCGAUUUCUGAGAGUGAGCCUGAGAAACGGCUACCACAUGCAAGGAAGGCAGCAGGCGCGCAAAUCACCCACUCCCGACGCGGGAAGGUAGUGAUGA